CAGGGAUUGCCCCAGUAACGGCGAGUGAAGCGGCAACAGCUCAAAUUUGAAAUCUGGCUCUCGGGCCCGAGUUGUAAUUUGUAGAGGAUGCUUUUGGUGAGGUGCCUUCCGAGUUCCCUGGAACGGGACGCCAUAGAGGGUGAGAGCCCCGUCUGGUUGGACACCGAUCCUCUGUAAAGCUCCUUCGACGAGUCGAGUAGUUUGGGAAUGCUGCUCUAAAUGGGAGGUAUAUGUCUUCUAAAGCUAAAUACCGGCCAGAGACCGAUAGCGCACAAGUAGAGUGAUCGAAAGAUGAAAAGAACUUUGAAAAGAGAGUUAAACAGUACGUGAAAUUGUUGAAAGGGAAGCGCUUGUGACCAGACUUGGGCUUGGUUGAUCAUCCGGGGUUCUCCCCGGUGCACUCUUCCGGCUCAGGCCAGCAUCAGUUCGCCCUGGGGGAUAAAGGCUUCGGGAAUGUGGCUCUCUCCGGGGAGUGUUAU
rnacentral:rRNA from 1 species